GACGAACGCUGGCGGCGUGCUUAACACAUGCAAGUCGAACGAUGAAGCCGGAGCUUGCUCUGGUGAAUUAGUGGCGAACGGGUGAGUAACACGUGAGUAACCUGCCCUUGACUCUGGGAUAACUGCUAGAAAUGGUAGCUAAUACCGGAUACGACCCUCGGAGGCAUCUCCAGGGGGUGGAAAGAAUUUCGGUCAAGGAUGGACUCGCGGCCUAUCAGCUAGUUGGUGAGGUAAUGGCUCACCAAGGCGACGACGGGUAGCCGGCCUGAGAGGGUGACCGGCCACACUGGGACUGAGACACGGCCCAGACUCCUACGGGAGGCAGCAGUGGGGAAUAUUGCACAAUGGGCGCAAGCCUGAUGCAGCAACGCCGCGUGAGGGAUGACGGCCUUCGGGUUGUAAACCUCUUUUAGUAGGGAAGAAGCGAAAGUGACGGUACCUGCAGAAAAAGCACCGGCUAACUACGUGCCAGCAGCAGCCGCCG
rnacentral:rRNA from 1 species